CUACGGGGCGCAGCAGUGAGGAAUAUUGCACAAUGGGGGGAACCCUGAUGCAGCAACGCCGCGUGGAGGAUGACGCAUUUCGGUGUGUAAACUCCUUUUAUAUGUCAAGAAAAUGACGGUAGCAUAUGAAUAAGCACCGGCUAACUCCGUGCCAGGCAGCCGCGGUAAUACGGAGGGUGCAAGCGUUACUCGGAAUCACUGGGCGUAAAGGACGCGUAGGCGGGCUUGUAAGUCAGGUGUGAAAUCCUACAGCUUAACUGUAGAACUGCACUUGAAACUACGAGCCUAGAGUAUGGGAGGGGCAGAUGGAAUUAGUGGUGUAGGGGUAAAAUCCGUAGAUAUCACUAGGAAUACCUAAAGCGAAGGCGAUCUGCUGGAACAUAACUGACGCUAAGGCGUGAAAGCGUGGGGAGCAAACAGGAUUAGAUACCCGAGUAGUC
rnacentral:rRNA from 1 species